rnacentral:pre_miRNA from 1 species
ACACCAAUCUCCUGGGGAACUUGUUAAAAUGCAGAUUUCGCCUCCUUGUUCUCCAGUGGAGCCCCUGGGUUCUUGUUUCUGACAAGCACCCAGGUGAUGCAAGU